AGAGUUUGAUCCUGGCUCAGAACGAACGCUGGCGGCGCGUUUUACGCAUGCAAGUCGAACGGCAUAAGCUGUAGCAAUAUGGUUUAGAGAGUGGCAAACGGGUGAGUAACACGUAGGUGAUCUACCCUCGGACGGGGGAUAGUCCGUGGAAACACGGGGUAAUACCGCAUGAGGCCUUGUGGGUAAAGCCAUGAGGUGAAAGGUGCAAUUGUACCAUCUGGGGAUGAGCCUGCGGCCCAUUAGGUAGUUGGCGGGGUAAGAGCCCACCAAGCCGACGAUGGGUAGCCGGCCUGAGAGGGUGUACGGCCACACUGGAACUGAGACACGGUCCAGACUCCUACGGGAGGCAGCAGCGAAGAAUCUUCCGCAAUGGGGGAAACCCUGACGGAGCGACGCCGCGUGGGCGAUGAAGGUCGUAAGAUUGUAAAGCCCUUUUUUCGGUGAAGAAUAAGGUGGGGAGUGGAAAGCCUCAUCGAUGACGUUAGCCGAAGAAUAAGCCCCGGCCAAUUACGUGCCAGCAGCCGCGGUAAUACGUAUGGGGCAAGCGUUGUUCGGAGUUAUUGGGCGUAAAGGGCGUGUAGGCGGUUUAUCAAGUCUGGUGUGAAAUAUCUGGGCUUAACCCAGGGGAUGCGCUGGAAACUGGUAGACUUGAGUUCCUGAGGGGAAGCUGGAAUUCCAGGUGUAGGGGUGAAAUCUGUAGAUAUCUGGAAGAACACCGGUGGCGAAGGCGAGCUUCUAUCAGAGGACUGACGCUGAGGCGCGAAAGCGUGGGGAGCAAACAGGAUUAGAUACCCUGGUAGUC
rnacentral:rRNA from 1 species